AAUUCGAUGCAACGCGAAGAACCUUACCUGGUCUUGACAUCCACAGAACUUUCCAGAGAUGGAUUGGUGCCUUCGGGAACUGUGAGACAGGUGCUGCAUGGCUGUCGUCAGCUCGUGUUGUGAAAUGUUGGGUUAAGUCCCGCAACGAGCGCAACCCUUAUCCUUUGUUGCCAGCGGUCCGGCCGGGAACUCAAAGGAGACUGCCAGUGAUAAACUGGAGGAAGGUGGGGAUGACGUCAAGUCCUCAUGGCCUUUAUGCUUAGGGCUACACACGUGCUACAAUGGGUGGUACAAAGAGAAGCCAACUCGCGAGAGCGCGCCAAUCUCAAAAAGCCAUCCUCAGUUCGGAUUGGAGUCUGCAACUCGACUCCAUGAAGUUGGAAUCGCUAGUAAUCGCGGAUCAGCAUGCCGCGGUGAAUACGUUCCCGGGCCUU
rnacentral:rRNA from 1 species